rnacentral:rRNA from 1 species
GAUGAACGCUGGCGGCGUGCUUAACACAUGCAAGUCGAACGGAAAGACCCUGCUUUUGUGGGGUUCUCGAUUGGCGAACGGGUGUGUGUCACGUGAGUAUCCUGCCCUUGACUUUCGGAUAUCUUCAGGAAACUGGGGCUAUUACAGGAUAGGAGCUCCUGCAGCAUGGUGGGCGUUGGAGAGUUUCGGCGGUUGGGGAUGGACUCGCGGGUUAUCAGCUUGAUGGUGGGGUAGGUGAGUUCCAAGGCUGUGACGGGUAGCCGGCCUGAGAGGGUGACCGGCCACAAUGGGACUGAGAUACGGCCCAGACUCCUACGGGAGGCAGCAGUGGGGAAUAUUGCACAAUGGGCGGAAGCCUGAUGCAGCAACGCCGCGUGCGGGAUGACCGCUUUCGGGUUGUAAACCGCUUUCGCCUGUGACGAAGCGUGAGUGACGGUAAUGGGUAAAGAAGCACCGGCUAACUACGUG